CCUACGGGAGGCAGCAGUGGGGAAUAUUGCACAAUGGGCGAAAGCCUGAUGCAGCAACGCCGCGUGAGCGAUGAAGGCCUUUGGGUCGUAAAGCUCUGUCCUUGGGGAAGAAAAAAUGACGGUACCCUUGGAGGAAGCCCCGGCUAACUACGUGCCAGCAGCCGCGGUAAU
rnacentral:rRNA from 1 species